AACGUAGGAUCCGAGCGUUAUCCGAAUUCACUGGGCGUAAAGCGCGUGCAGGCGGCCUGCUAAGUUGGAUGUGAAACCUCCCGGCUCAACUGGGAGAGGACGUACAAUACUAGCGGGCUAGAGGGCAGUAGAGGGAGGUGGAAUUCCCGGUGUAGUGGUGAAAUGCGUAGAUAUCGGGAGGAACACCAGUGGCGAAAGCGGCCUCCUGGGCUGCACCUGACGCUGAGAUGCGAAAGCUAGGGGAGCAAACGGG
rnacentral:rRNA from 1 species